GCAAUGGGGGGAACCCUGACCGAGCAACGCCGCGUGAGUGAAGAAGGUUUUCGGAUCGUAAAGCUCUGUUGUUAAGGAAGAACGAGUGUGAGAAUGGAAAGUUCAUACUGUGACGGUACUUAACCAGAAAGGGACGGCUAACUACGUGCCAGCAGCCGCGGUAAUACGUAGGUCCCGAGCGUUGUCCGGAUUUAUUGGGCGUAAAGCGAGCGCAGGCGGUUAGAAAAGUCUGAAGUGAAAGGCAGUGGCUCAACCAUUGUAGGCUUUGGAAACUGUUUAACUUGAGUGCAGAAGGGGAGAGUGGAAUUCCAUGUGUAGCGGUGAAAUGCGUAGAUAUAUGGAGGAACACCGGUGGCGAAAGCGGCUCUCUGGUCUGUAACUGACGCUGAGGCUCGAAAGCGUGGGGAGCGAACAGGAUUAGAUACCCUGGUAGUCCACGCCGUAAACGAUGAGUGCUAGGUGUUAGGUCCUUUCCGGGACUUAGUGCCGCAGCUAACGCAUUAAGCACUCCGCCUGGGGAGUACGACCGCAAGGUUGAAACUCAAAGGAAUUGACGGGGGCCCGCACAAGCGGUGGAGCAUGUGGUUUAAUUCGAAGCCACGCGAAGAACCUUACCAGGUCUUGACAU
rnacentral:rRNA from 1 species